CAUUUCCACGUUUUUCCGCGCCGUAGCUAACGCAUUAAGUGCCCCGCCUGGGGAGUACGGCCGCAAGGCUAAAACUCAAAGGAAUUGACGGGGGCCCGCACAAGCGGCGGAGCAUGCGGAUUAAUUCGAUGCAACGCGAAGAACCUUACCAAGGCUUGACAUGAACCGGAAAUACCUGGAAACAGGUGCCCCGCUUGCGGUCGGUUUACAGGUGGUGCAUGGUUGUCGUCAGCUCGUGUCGUGAGAUGUUGGGUUAAGUCCCGCAACGAGCGCAACCCUCGUUCUAUGUUGCCAGCGCGUGAUGGCGGGGACUCAUAGGAGACUGCCGGGGUCAACUCGGAGGAAGGUGGGGACGACGUCAAAUCAUCAUGCCCCUUAUGUCUUGGGCUUCACGCAUGCUACAAUGGCCGGUACAAAGGGUUGCGAUACUGUGAGGUGGAGCUAAUCCCAAAAAGCCGGUCUCAGUUCGGAUUGGGGUCUGCAACUCGACCCCAUGAAGUCGGAGUCGCUAGUAAUCGCAGAUCAGCAACGCUGCGGUGAAUACGUUCCCGGGCCUUGUACACACCGCCCGUCAAGUCACGAAAGUUGGUAACACCCGAAGCCGGUGGCCUAACCCCUUGUGGGAGGGAGCUGUCGAAGGUGGGACUGGCGAUUGGGACUAAGU
rnacentral:rRNA from 1 species